UUCUCUCUCUCUUCCAAAGCCCUCAACUGAUAUUCAUCAAACCAGAUCAAAGACACACACACACUCUCUCUCACUCUCUCUCGCUCGCUUGCUCGAUUGCAGAUUUUACAUUGUAUAUUCGUCGAACUCUCGAUCUUUGUUGCUCUUCAUCGAUCUGUCGCUGGAGAGCUUUGAUCAGUCUCUUCAUCGAACUUGAACUCAAACUCGAUCUGUUCUUCAUCAAAUCGCAGAUCCAAAAUCGAUAUCAUUCUCGAACCAGAUCGAUCUCUGUUGCUCUUAUCUCAGAUUAGAUCAGAUCAGAUCGUUGAACCAGGUCAUAACUUUACGCUAACAGCUAGUUUUGAAGGUUUAAAUGCUUCAAGCUAUGAUGCUCUUGUGAUCCCGGGAGGCAGAGCUCCAGAAUACCUAGCAUUGGAUGAGUCAGUUAUUAAAUUGGUGAAGGAAUUCAUGGAGGUUGGAAAGCCAGUAGCAUCAAUCUGCCAUGGACAGCAGAUUUUGUCUGCUGCUGGUGCUCUCAAGGGCAAGAAAUGUACCGCAUACCCUGCAGUGAAACUCAACGUGGUCUUAGGUGGGGCAACAUGGUUAGAACCUGAUCCAAUAAGUCGAAUCUGGUAACUGGAGCAGCAUGGCCAGGUCACCCUGAGUUCAUUUCUCAGCUAAUGGCGUUGCCUGGUGUCCAGGUUAGGCCAUGCUUAACAGGAUAAUUGUCACCGAUUUGCUAUCACCGUUGAUUCUAUAGACAUCACUGGCUACAAAGACUAAUUAACUGUUCCCAUUUGGUUUACUACAGCUUCAACCCAAUAUUCAUGCUCGCCGAGCCAUUGAUGUUGGCAUCUGUGUUUUUCUUCUUUUUCAUGGCUUGUGUAGCUUACCUGCACGUCGACCUUUCCAUUCGGAAGUGAAAAAGUAACACAUAUUGGGGAUUCUUAAAAGCUUUAUCGGAGAGUAACUUCGACUUUGGCUGUGUGACCUAGGCUAGCGGCCAAGAGUUCUUCAGUGCAUCAACAUGAGAAGAAAUCUUGUGAUACAUUUAAAAUUAUGAAAUUUUGUUUGGGUUUCAAAUAGGAAAUUGUUGUUUGUACAUUGUUCCCCAUUUUAUUGAGACUAAAGUAGGUCCCUGCAAUCGAAAGGGGAAGGCAUCAGAUUGCUGGUAAAACGACUCAGGAGGUAAUU